rnacentral:rRNA from 1 species
UACAGAGGUCUCAAGCGUUGUUCGGAUUCAUUGGGCGUAAAGGGUGCGUAGGUGGCGCCAUAAGUCAGGUGUGAAAUCUCGGGGCUUAACUCCGAAACUGCAUUUGAUACUGUGGUGCUUGAGGACUGGAGAGGAGACUGGAAUUCACGGUGUAGCAGUGAAAUGCGUAGAUAUCGUGAGGAAGACCAGUGGCGAAGGCGGGUCUCUGGACAGUUCCUGACACUGAGGCACGAAGGCCAGGGGGAGCAAAACGGG